CGUCGACCGGCGCACGGGUGAGUAACGCGUAUCCAACCUUCCCGUUACUGCGGGAUAACCUGCCGAAAGGCAGACUAAUAACGCAUGUUCUUCGAUGACGGCAUCAGAUUCGAAGCAAAGAUCCGUCGGUAACGGAGGGGGAUGCGUCUGAUUAGCUAGUUGGCGGGGCGACGGCCCACCAAGGCGACGAUCAGUAGGGGUUCUGAGAGGAAGGUCCCCCACAUUGGAACUGAGACACGGUCCAAACUCCUACGGGAGGCAGCAGCA
rnacentral:rRNA from 1 species